rfam:Ornithorhynchus anatinus chromosome 1, whole genome shotgun sequence.
CCCCUCUCAGGGUCGCACCUGGAGAGUUUCCAGUACUCUACCGGUCUUGACUCCUGGAGGGAGAGUAAAGCAGAGGCAUAACCAUUCCAUUCUUAGCCUGGCCAGUGGCUAACGAGUGGAAAGCAAUCUGCUACAAGU